CCGGCCUCUCAGGGAAGUAGGGAGGGCAGGAAGGCGGGAGGGCGAGCGGGCGCCCGCAGCCCCGGCCGGAAGAGCCCGCCGUCAGCGAAGGGCAGCCCUGAAGGGGCUGGGGUCGGGAGGCUCCUCUGACCCUGACCCCGCCAGGGCACCGCCGAUCUCCACGCCUCGGGCUGCACGUUGCAAGAAACCCUGACUAUGGUGGAAGCUUCAAGCUUUAACAAGCAUUACUGCUAAAUUCAAGAAUCCUUAUAGGAGAAAGGAUAAAGGAAGAAAUGUAAGGCUUGCUGUUCAAGUUACGCUGAAAUAUUGAAUCUGAAUGAAAGGUGUCAGUGUUGGAGGCUCAAGACACAGGCCCUGAAAAUGAAAUUACUCUUACUUUAUUUAUUAAUGGCGCAUUGUUGCUAGCAGCUGAAAGCCACAGGCCCUACUGGUGAGGAGUUAAUCGUUCAUGCAGCUCAGUCCCAGAAAUACAUGGGGGAGUCGAAGAUCUAAACCUUUCUAAUCUAUUGAUGGGAAAUGAAAAGUAACCCAGAAAUGUAAUUUAAGGAUGACCUCUCUGAACACCUGCUGUAUUCUCCCGGCAAACACUGGGGCCAUGGUGUUUCUCCUCUAAUGACACCUCAUCAAUCCGCUCCUAUCAACGUCCCAGCCAUGGAGGUGACUUGGAGUGCUCAGAAGCUAUAGAAAAUGUCAACGUUUUGGGAGAAAAGGUAUUUUAGGAGGUAUCUCAGGAAAGCUGUGGUUUUACAUAAUGAAAACAAAGGGACAACUGCAAUAAAAAGUACCAGGAUUUCACAGUUAUGCUUCCGUUGAUCUGACAUCAGACCUGUUUGCUCCCCUGUGCUGUCAUCGCGUUCAGAGACGUGCUGCUGUGAAUGACACCCUGUGGCACUCUGGUACUUUUGGAAAGGAGCACAACACUGAACCACUGAACUUUAAGUUAAGCAAAAGAGAGCACUCAGAGUUGGAUUUGCCAGCUGAAAAUGAAGGCGGUAGCUUGCAGCAGAGGGGUGGUGAAAAGCCAAACAAACCAGGGUGAAGGCAGCAGCUUUCACUGCAUGGCCCUUUCUGAAAUAAGCUUCUGGGUGGAACAUGAAGGUGCUUCUAGAGGUAGGCUUAGAGGCCCAGCUGACAGGUGCUAACUUGUUUAGCUGCUGUGCCUUGAUUGCAUUUGAUUGUGUGCCCGCAACCUGAGCAGAUUCCACAAGGGACUCGUAUUCUACUUAUGGCAAGUUCCUCCCACAGUACAUCAUGCCUUUGGCAUGUGGCUUGGCCUUGGUGCUGCGCCUGCAGGAAGGAGAUGACUCGAAUGAAGGUGGAUGAGGCUUUGAGGGGAGCUGGUGCCUUCCUGCCUGACCUGGGCCAUGUGAGGGGCCAUACCAUUGUUUUGGUUGUGUGAUAGCAGUUGUACUUUUGGUGUUGGGCUGUGAUUUGGACCACCCCCCAUAGCACGGCAUUAUAGCAUUUCUCUCCAUACUUGGGCAUGGUUCAUGGUACUGAGGAGCUACAGAGAU